AACGAACGCUGGCGGCAUGCCUAACACAUGCAAGUCGAACGAGACCUUCGGGUCUAGUGGCGCACGGGUGCGUAACGCGUGGGAAUCUGCCCUUUGGUUCGGAAUAACAGUUGGAAACGACUGCUAAUACCGGAUGAUGACGAAAGUCCAAAGAUUUAUCGCCAGAGGAUGAGCCCGCGUAGGAUUAGCUAGUUGGUGUGGUAAAGGCGCACCAAGGCGACGAUCCUUAGCUGGUCUGAGAGGAUGAUCAGCCACACUGGGACUGAGACACGGCCCAGACUCCUACGGGAGGCAGCAGUGGGGAAUAUUGGACAAUGGGCGAAAGCCUGAUCCAGCAAUGCCGCGUGAGUGAUGAAGGCCUUAGGGUUGUAAAGCUCUUUUACCCGGGAUAAUAAUGACAGUACCGGGAGAAUAAGCUCCGGCUAACUCCGUGCCAGCCGCCGCAGUAA
rnacentral:rRNA from 1 species